GAGUUGGUAGCUCAGUGGUUGAGUGCAUGCUUUGUAUAAAUGAUGUCCUGGGUUCAACCCCAGCUUCUCA
rnacentral:tRNA from 1 species